rnacentral:rRNA from 1 species
GACGUAGGGCGCGAGCGUGUCCGGAAUUAUUGGGCGUAAAGAGCUCGUAGGCGGUUUGUCGCGUCUGCUGUGAAAACGCGAGGCUCAACCUCGCGCCUGCAGUGGGUACGGGCAGACUAGAGUGCGGUAGGGGAGAUUGGAAUUCCUGGUGUAGCGGUGGAAUGCGCAGAUAUCAGGAGGAACACCGAUGGCGAAGGCAGAUCUCUGGGCCGUAACUGACGCUGAGGAGCGAAAGCGUGGGGAGCGAACAGG